rnacentral:tRNA from 1 species
AGGAUGGCCGAGUGGUUAAGGCAUUGGACUUAAGUUCCAAUGGAUGUAUAUCCACGUGGGUUUGAACCACCACUCCU